rnacentral:lncRNA from 1 species
GUAAGUUACAUCCUUCUUCUACUUGUCUUUUUCCCUAAACUUUAUAUUUUUUUAUCUUUCCGUUUAUAUAAUCUUGAGGGAAAAAUGGUACAAUGAUGCUAUGAAUACAAGAAACCCAUUAUAGAAAUGGUAUAGGGUUUCAAAAUUGAUGAUGAGGCAGAGUUUAAAAAAAAAAAAAAAACAUAAUCUUCCUUUACUUGACCUGAAUUGAAAUCGUAUUGCUUUCCCAUUUUUCCCAAAAUCCGUUCGUCUUUUUCAUUUGCCCCAAACCCACUCACGAAUUUCUUUCCGAUUUCUACAAAUCACUCUUUCGUUUGUUACGCUCACUGUCACCGUCUACCAGAGUCGACAAAGAGCAUACGACACGAGCAAGCCCUUCAAAACCGCAAUCACCUCCAUGCUUGACACCGCACCCACCUCCCUUCACUGCCACACUUUGCUAUAUCUUUGGGGAGAAUGUAAGUAGUUUUUUUCUAGUUUUGUACAUGGAUUUUGACAAUCUUUUUUUAACUUCUUCAAAAUUUCAUCUCUCCAAUGUUGAAUUUUUCAGUGGUCACCUCAAUAAUAUGGCCUGAAUAAUAUGAUUUUGUAUGGUUUUCAUUUAGAUAGAGAAACGAUUCAAUUGUUUACGAGCUUCUUUGAUAAGUAGCAUUGUUAGUAUUUAUUAGUUAAGUCAUCGAGCUCUUCUUUUACUGUCUUGGUUUUGAUUGGUUAAUGUCAACAAUCAAAUUCGAGUAAUGGUUUUUAACACGGAUGAUGAGUUUUAGGUGGUUGAUGUGGAAUUUUGUAAUUCAAAUGUAUUCAUGUUUGUUUAUUUGUUUGGGAUCGACUAGAAUGAGAUGAAGGAAUUCAGGAGUUUGUCAUGGUUGCAGAAGCAACACUCACUAGUUUGGACAAUACCAAACAAAAUGCCAAUUUCCUCCGUGUAAUCACGGAUAUCGAAAAUAUUUUGAUGUCGAAUGGAAUACUAUUAACAAAGGACAAUUGUUCUUCACCUGUAGCAAUGAUUGUGGAUAUUUUGACUUGGUGAAAGAAGGAGUUUUAAGUGGGGAGUCGAGUUCUGUUGAUGAAGCGGUGAAUCAUGCGUCCAACGUGGAAGAUUAAGAGUUGUCAAGACUCUUUGACAAUUUAACUCGAAUUAGUGAGUAACAAGAUGUGACAUAUCAAUGCACAUGGGUUUUCACAAGGGAAAAGGAAUUGCAAGGUGUGAUGGGAAAUGAAAGGGUUUGACUUGAAUGGCUUAUUUGUAUUUGUUAUAUGGAUUAUUGUAAUGUACGAACAGUUUAGUCAUUGUAGGCUAUAAGAUGUGCAAUUAAUCUUGUCAGAAUUGUUCAAUUAUUUAACAUGUGAUUGUUAUUAGGUUCAUUGUAAUAUAUGUAAUGGUUGGUAGAACCUUAUGAUAUACUUGUUCUCAUUUUUGUUUGCAAACAUCUCGGGUGAAUUCUUUAAUAAAAAAGGCUUCUAAUUAGAGUUUUGUC